rnacentral:snoRNA from 1 species
UUCUUUCACAGUCGUCCCUUAGUCAUUGGGGUCAGGAUUGGGUAGCUGGUGCAGACAGAAAACCCUUGAUUACAUCCGUGCUCUGAUACUGUACCAAUGGCUGCUGUUAUUCAAGUGAACAGUG